GUUGCAAAUUUGAAACUUAAUCUGGCCCAAAUUUCCUAUUUUUUAAAUGAAGUUAAGACAAAACAAACAAACAAAAAAAAGGACAAGAAUAAUUUCCUCAGGGUCUUGGAGGUCUUCCCCAUAACUCAUUCUGUUAUAAUUGGGUCCAUAUGCAAGAACCUUAGUUAAGAUAAGCUCCAGGGGAAGAACGGUUACUGCAGGUCAUUCAGGAGAGUCUGGAAAUGUCACAGUGCAAAAUGGGUAGAAGGAGGUGAUGAUGGAAGACCAUGUGCAAACAGCAAAGAUGAAGACAGUGUCCUCAACUCACGGGAUUCAUGCCUGGGCCGGCAUGUGCCCCAGGGCAUGGCACAGAGUCAUCAGAAGCAGGGGCUUUUCCCAUUCUGAAGGUUUCUACUUGAGAGAUGGAAGAGAGAAAGGAGGAAGAGGAGAGAGGACACUGCCUGGCUCACUGGUGGAAGGGGACUGACUGAUGGUUCUGGGGAAGAUUCGCGAAGUAUCCACUCAGGGAAGCACAGAAACUACGGGGCAAAGAUGUCCUUGCAGAAUUGUUUAUGAGCGAUGUUUAAAGCAUCUUAUUUAUUCAGUAAGAAAGCAGUUGUUAAAACUAUAGUUCUGCCGGUGGACCACUCAGGGCCCAUUCAGAUAAUG